CCCGUCGGGAGACACGUUUUGUCAGUUGCUUCCUCUGGAGUCCUUUUAAAAGACUACUUUUUAGAGCAGUUUUCAUUUUACCGAUACAUCGAUCAGAGAGUACGGAGCUUCCCACAUUGCCUCCCGCACCCCAUAGCAGGCAGAGGCACCAGCCAGGCGCCAUCCUUUACAAGCUGUUUCAGCAAAAUGUCCCUGGGAAGGAAAUGACCGCAGAAGGGAGUGCACCGUGGGGGCAGGAGGUGCUGCGGCCAAUGGGCAGUGCUGGGAGAUGAAACCAACAGCGGCGAUUGCCCCAGAAAGAACUUGGCGCUGCUAAGGCAAUGGCGGCCCGAAAGAGGCCCCUGA
rnacentral:lncRNA from 1 species